AGUGAACGCUGGCGGUAGGCCUAACACAUGCAAGUCGAACGGCAGCACAGUAAGAGCUUGCUCUUAUGGGUGGCGAGUGGCGGACGGGUGAGGAAUACAUCGGAAUCUACUUUUUCGUGGGGGAUAACGUAGGGAAACUUACGCUAAUACCGCAUACGACCUACGGGUGAAAGCAGGGGAUCUUCGGACCUUGCGCGAUUGAAUGAGCCGAUGUCGGAUUAGCUAGUUGGCGGGGUAAAGGCCCACCAAGGCGACGAUCCGUAGCUGGUCUGAGAGGAUGAUCAGCCACACUGGAACUGAGACACGGUCCAGACUCCUACGGGAGGCAGCAGUGGGGAAUAUUGGACAAUGGGCGCAAGCCUGAUCCAGCCAUACCGCGUGGGUGAAGAAGGCCUUCGGGUUGUAAAGCCCUUUUGUUGGGAAAGAAAUCCAGCCGGUUAAUAC
rnacentral:rRNA from 1 species